AUGAUUUAUCAAGCAUAUCUCAACAAGAAAACUGACUCUAUGUGACCACUCUUGAUGAUCCAAAACGAUUUGUUAAAAUUCAUUACUCUGUUGCUGCUAUGGAGAUAAGGAAUGAUCUUGAACAACCACAUCAAGUUCAUGUAUAUCAUCAACAUAGGCAACCAGAUCUACCAAGGGGAACAACUAACCCAUGUUUAUCCACUACAUGUGCACAUCUAUGUGUCUUGGAUUGGAACAAGGAUACUGUGUCAGCCAAAUGUUUAUUUGAAGCAGGAUACACAAUUGUAUAGAUGACAAAGAAGCCUGUAUAUAUGACAAAGUUUGUAAAGGAAAAACUGAUCCAAGCUGUAUUGUUUUUCUGAGAAUUGUUUUGAGGAACAAGUACGUUGUCCAGGAGGGUGAUGUAUACCUAAGAGUUGGUGGUGUGAUGGACAGGCAGAUUGUGACGGGGAUGGAGAUCAGGCUUAUUGUGUGGGGAUUUUCAAGUUUUUGUGAUGAAGAUACUGAGUCCCAGUGUUUUAAAAAUGAUAAGUGUUUACCGAUUAUGUAUAGAUGUGAUGGGGAGGAAGAUAGUAAACAUGGAUCUGAUGAAAAAAACUGUAGAGAUUCUCCCAUUCCAGUGGGCUCAUGUAAUGAUGAAAAUGAAUUUAGAUGUUCUGAUGGGAUGUGUUUAACAGAAAAGUAUAAGUGUGAUGGAGACCAAGAUUGUGCUGUUGAAUCUGAUGAGCUAAACUGUCAUAAUGUGACCGUUUAGGGUCUUGAUCCUAUUGAAUGAAAGUGUGAAAAAGGCAACAAAUGUAUACCUAUAGCUUGGAAAUGUGAUACUGAGGUCAAAUGUCCCAACAGUUCUGACGAUAAACACUGUGAUGUUGAAUGUGAUUAUCCUAGCUACAGAUGUUCAGAAGAGUUCAACCCCCCAGUCUGUCUGAACCCAUUUCAACUGUGUGACAAUAAACCAGAUUGUAAAGACAAAAGUGAUGAAGAAAACCAUUGAAGUAAUGCUACCUUAUGUGAAUUUCUGGAUGUACAAACUGCUCCAAGACGCCAUGGGGAGAAAUGUGUGUGUGUGAACCAGGGCAAAUUUUGAGCUCAGACAAUAAGCUUGCAAAGAUAAACAAACGUUUGAAAUUGAGGAGCUGGUUGACUACAGACAAAUUGAGAAUACAGAAGAGUUCUUGGUUCAGUGGAAAGGUUUCCUGAAGACAAGAGAACCACUGAAUGAGAUGCCUGCGAUAUCUGUUAACAAAUUCUGGCAAAAAAAAUACUUAAGGUGGAACAAAACACUUCAACUGAAAUUAAUGUGGCUCAUUUAAAUUUCAUAAAAUUUUGACAAAAUAUUUACUUUUGGCCCUAGAACACAGUUAUUUCGUAGUGCAUUUCCUUUAGACAAUACAUUCAAAUUAAAAAAAUUGCACCUGCUCUUUCUCAAAAAGAUUUUUACAGUGUAGCGUACUACUAGUGAGACAAAUAAUAUCAAAAUUAUAGAAACUUCUACUCUAAAUCAAAAUAUUGACAAUUCUGUGUUAAGGGGGUGUAAAAUUCAGUUUGACAGCUUCAGACGUGAUAAAAUUUUACCUUUUUGAACUGGACUUUAUCACUACUUAACAUAAAGAUUUAGCACCCAAAUUUUUUUGACAUGUAAUUACAUCCCCCUACUUAAUAUUUCAUGCAUUUAAUAUCAAGAAAUAAAUUGGAAAAGUGUAUCAAAUAAAACAUGUAAGUUAUACACUGUUUACACUAGGGACUAUAUUCGUAGACAACGAAAACCAAGGGACGAUAACUGUGUCCUUGGACCUAAUAGGACAGAAAGACUUAACCAAUCUUUAUAAAACUUUGCAUAACCUAAGCUUUGGCAAUUAUGAGAUUGUUUGCCAAGUUUUUUGCCAUAUAGCAUAUAUAAGAGAAACUAGGGUCAUUUUAGUAUUGACAUUUGGAUGGGGUAUUUUUACGUAUAAAAUAAAUAUAUUCAACUGUCAAGAUUUUGGCCUAAAAAUUAGCUUUUUAAAUGCUCUUGUAUAUUAUAUAUUAAAAGCAUAUGAACACUCAUUUUAUUGAUCAGAUGUAUUGUAAUUAUUCCAAAGUCAAAUUUAUAUGAGCCUAUGCCUGAAAAUAGAGAUUUUCCAAUUCAGGGAAGCCUUAUAUAAAUAUUCAUUUUUCUCAGCCAAUUUGAAGUUUUUGAAGUUUUUUAAGCCUGAAUUAUUCUUUAAUAUAUAUUAAAUGUACUUUAAAUGUAUAGAAAGAUACAAAAAGCAUACCACAUGAAUAUUAAAUGGUCUUGGACCAUGUAGUACUGAGAAUUAUUUAGAGUCGAUUUAGGCGGUAUCCCAUAUUGACAUAUAAACAUGAACACUAAAGCUAUCAGAAAUGAAAAUGUGUAACUUUUUGCUCAUUUCUAUGCUAAAGUGUUAUGAUACAAGAAGUCUAAUUGCAAAAGGACUCUUGCAUUUAAAUUUUUAAAAGACAAUAUGGUCUGAUGGCCAGUUUUUUCACUUUACAAUGGAAAACUUGCUUUUAGUUUUAGUCUCAAUAGGCAUAAAUCUGGACCACUUACUAUAAUACAGAAAAAAAAUUAUGGUAGCCUAUAAAGGAGUAAGGUGUACUGAAUAUAGUAAAGUGCUUGUUUUACAGAUUUAGUGAAAUAUUUGUGAUGGACUACAGGUUUGAUGUACAAAGCUCUUCACAUUUUACAUACAUCAAUUAGGCCGUUUAACCAGGGCCAUGAAUACAAAGUAUUCUGCACUUUUUUUCUGUGAUAAUCUACUUUUCUCUAUAUUCAGAGUUCACAAAUGGUUAGUUAAAUUUGAUUUAAGCAUAGAAACACAAAUAUCAGGAACAUAAAAGCUGUCAGAUAGAAAGUCAGUAUGCCUCUUAGGCAUGAAAUGUAAACUGAUUUAAACUGCUUGUUAUAGCCGUAGAUACCAAAAUGGCACAUUUUAACAGAAUUUUUGUAAACCAAAGAUGUAAAUCCUUUACUUUGAUUGAGUUUGACAAAAUGAAACCAGCAAAUCAUUCAGGAAAGUUGCCAAAGUACAGAAUCUAGAUUUCAGGAAUCCAUCUCUUAGGCCGGGAACUCAGUUAUUUCGUAGUGCAAUCUCCUUUAAACAAUAAAUUCAAAUUAAAACAUCACACCUGCUCUUUCUCAAAAAGAUUUUUACGGUUUAGUGUACUACCAGUGAGACAAAUAAUAUCAAAACUACAUGUAUAGAAACUUCUACCAGCUCUAACUCAAAAUAUUGACAAUUCUGUGUUAAGGGGGUGUAAAAUUCAGUUUGACAGCUUCAGACGUGAUAAAAUUUGACCUUUUUGAACUGGACCAAAUCACUACUUAACAUAAAGAUUCAGCACCCAAUUUUUUUUGACACGUAAUUACAUCCCCCUACUUAAUAUUUCAUGCAUUUAAUAUCAAGAAAUAAAUUGAAAAAGUGUAUCAAAUAAAACAUGGAAGUUAUACACUUUUUACACUAGGGACUAUAUUCGUAGACAACUAAAACAAAAGGACAAUAACUGUGUCCUUGGACCUUUUACCCUUUGACAUAUGAUAUAUAUAUAUUUAUAUAUACAACUCGUCUAAACAUCAACCCAACAAUGUUAGAUCUGUAAAUUUGCUUUCGCAAAUUUUUGGUUCUUCCCUCGCCCGGAUUCGAACAACUUAACUACCCUUUGACGUAUAAUACAACUCUUCUAAACAUCAACCCAACAAUGUUAGACCUGUAAAUUUGGUUCUUCCCUCGCCGGGAGUCGAACCCAUGCUACUGCGAUAUCGUGACACCAAAUCGCCUGCACUGUAGACGUCCCGCUAGACCACACGACCACCUGGGCUUCAUAAAAAGGAAGCUUUCGCUGGCCAUGUGUUACCUUUCCACGUCAGUUUGAAUAUAUAUUUAAAUUUCAAAAAAAAUUGAACAACACACUCUCUCAGAAAAAUACUGUGCAUAUACAGCUGUAUGGUAAACACCAAUUUUGAUCAUUGAGAAGCUUAAUAUUAUCUUAACAAUAGAAUGUUAAUAAAAUGUUCUCCAGAUUUUUAAAGAGUUAUCUCCCUGAAGUGUUAUGUACCACCUUAACAAUUGUAUUUUAAACAUGAAAAAUACAUAUACAAAGUAUUGCACCAUUUUAUAUUUAAAACAAGGCAAAUGGAUACAAUUCUUAAUUGUGACAAUUGGGAAUUCUUUAAUUGUCAUGUCAUAAAUUGUGAUCAUCAGGAAGUAUUUUAAGCAUUCAGGGUCAAAACUAGUGUUGGCCAAAUCUGAGAAAUUUAUUGAUGGACAAUCAUCAAGGUCAAAUUUUUACAGAAACUGUUUUUUUUUUUUUAUUUAUGGUUUCUUAUUUUUCAAUAGAUAUUAAGAGAAGAUCAUGUGAACAUUUCUGCACCAAAAGUGCUUCUUUUAUUAAUAAAAAAAUCAGUAAGAGUUGCUUUGCCACAAUACAAUGUAACCAUGGAAAUUGGUACCCCACAAAAAAGUACUUUCACAGUUUAACAUGUCAAGAAUUAAAUUAAUAAAAUAUAUUCAUUUCUUAUUAAUGGAAAGUUAUAACUCAAUGCAGAUUUUUGCAGAUUGUACCAAACUAAACUUGAGUUUGAUUUUUAUUUUGAAAAAAGGUUAAUUAAAAUAUUUCAAGUUAGGUUUGAUGUUGUGAAUAAUAUAGAAAAAAAAUAUUAUAUCCCUUCAUCUGCUUAUUGUAAAGAUAUUUAUGUCAUCUGUCAUUUUAUGGGGGUAUUUUGCUGUUUUUAUUGGGAUAAUUAUUUCAAAACAAUGAAAGUCAGUUUUGUGUGUGAUUGUUUUUGUUAUAUGAAGAAUAUUUGAUGGGGUUUUACCUUGAUAACACCAAAAUUUACCUCUCGUUUGAUUUUUCUUAUAUUUACAUCAUUGAAAAGGUAGUGGUCCGUGCAUCAUGUGCAUAAGUGGCUGAAGUAAAUGAUUAAAAGAA